GGAUGUGGGGGUGAUCUGGCUGCGACAUCUGUGAACUCAUUGAUCGCCAAAGUUGAUUUGGCUGAUCUGGCUUGCUAGGCAGGUUUCCCCUUCCUUACUCACUGCUCUAAGUCGUGCCUCCCGAAGCUACAUGAUCGGUGGAAGAGGACUGGCCUUCCCUGAAUAGACACAAACCGGUCUUUGGUGGAGGGUAUAUGAGUAGCUGUACUCCCCUGCAGGAACCUCCUACGAGCUCUCAAGUAGAGCCACUUACUAAAGGCAGAUAAUUGUACUAAUUGAGUUGCAG
ensembl:misc_RNA 7SK 7SK RNA